GACGAACGCUGGCGGCGUGCUUAACACAUGCAAGUCGAACGGUAAGGCCCUUCGGGGGUACACGAGUGGCGAACGGGUGAGUAACACGUGGGUGAUCUGCCCUGCACUUCGGGAUAAGCCUGGGAAACUGGGUCUAAUACCGGAUAGGACCACUGCCUGCAUGGGUGGUGGUGGAAAGCUUUUGCGGUGUGGGAUGGGCCCGCGGCCUAUCAGCUUGUUGGUGGGGUGAUGGCCUACCAAGGCGACGACGGGUAGCCGGCCUGAGAGGGUGACCGGCCACACUGGGACUGAGAUACGGCCCAGACUCCUACGGGAGGCAGCAGUGGGGAAUAUUGCGCAAUGGGCGCAAGCCUGAUGCAGCGACGCCGCGUGAGGGAUGACGGCCUUCGGGUUGUAAACCUCUUUCAGCACCGACGAAGCGCAAGUGACGGUAGGUGCAGAAGAAGGACCGGCCAACUACGUGCCAGCAGCCGCGGUAA
rnacentral:rRNA from 1 species